GUAGGGAAUCUUCCGCAAUGGACGAAAGUCUGACGGAGCAACGCCGCGUGAGUGAUGAAGGCUUUCGGGUCGUAAAACUCUGUUGUUAGGGAAGAACAAGUGCUAGUUGAAUAAGCUGGCACCUUGACGGUACCUAACCAGAAAGCCACGGCUAACUACGUGCCAGCAGCCGCGGUAAUACGUAGGUGGCAAGCGUUAUCCGGAAUUAUUGGGCGUAAAGCGCGCGCAGGUGGUUUCUUAAGUCUGAUGUGAAAGCCCACGGCUCAACCGUGGAGGGUCAUUGGAAACUGGGAGACUUGAGUGCAGAAGAGGAAAGUGGAAUUCCAUGUGUAGCGGUGAAAUGCGUAGAGAUAUGGAGGAACACCAGUGGCGAAGGCGACUUUCUGGUCUGUAACUGACACUGAGGCGCGAAAGCGUGGGGAGCAAACAGGA
rnacentral:rRNA from 1 species